GAGAGAGAAAGAGAGAGAGGGAGAGGAGCAUCCAGAUAGGAAAGAGAGAGAGUUCAGGGAGGGAAGAGAUAGAAGAGGGUCCAGAGAGGUGAAAGAGAGAGAGGAGAGUCCAGAGAGAGAUAGGAGAAGAAGAGAGUCCAGGGAGGGAUGAGAGAGAGGAGAGUCCAGAGGAGGGAUGAGAGAGAGGAGAGUCCAGAGGAGGGAUGAGAGAGAGGAGAGUCCAGAGAGGGAAGAGAGAGGAGAGUCCAGAGAGGGAAGAGAGAGAGGAGAGUCCAGAGAGGGGAGAGAGAGAGGAGAGUCCAGAGAGGGAAGAGAGAGAGGAGAGUCCAGAGAGGGAAGAGAGAGAGGAGAGUCCAGAGAGGGAAGAGAGAGAGGAGAGUCCAGAGG
ensembl:lncRNA